ensembl:lncRNA
GGGGGCUCCUGGGGGGGCGGGUGUGGGGGGUGCGGACAUCUCCUCAUCUCCCCUCGGAGAAGCGCAGUUUCUCGUUUUUCCCCACUUUCCCCGAAUUUUCCCGACUCAUUGCGGGCUGUCCGUGCCCCCCCCCCCUCCACUCCCCCUCUACCCCCCCCUCAUUCGCACGUGUGCGCGGAGCUGCGCGCAUCUGUGCCCCCCCCCCCGCAAUCCGGCGGCGUGUGUCGUGUCGGAUUUAAGAGCGUGUUUACACAGCUCGGAGACUUCGAAACACGGCCCCGAAAGGCGAUAAAACGCUGCCUUAAAUCAUCCUGCCCUCGAUCCACCGCUUCCCCAUCUGCAGGCGGGGGGAUCUGCCCUCCAUGUGCUGCUCGGGGCUCCCGUCCGUCCCCCCUCCCCUCAACCCCCCCCCAUCCGUCCGUCCGUCCGCAGACACCCGCAAGAAGGUGUCCCCGUAAUUAGAAGGGGGACCCCAAGGGAUGGGGGGCGGGGGGGGUCCUUAUGGAGAGCACCGCGGCCCUCGGAGCAGUCAAGAAAACGAAGUGGUUUAUUUACUCUACGGUUCUUUUUUCUCUUUUCUUCUUCUUUUCUCUUUUUCUUUUCUCUUUUUAUCCUUUUCUUUUUCUUUUUCAUUUUUUCUCCUUUCCCCCCUUUUUUUUUCUUUUUUCUUUUUUUUCCUUUUUUCCCCUUAUUUUCUUUUUUUUCCCUUUCUUUUCUUUCUUUUCUUUUCCCCCUUCUUCAUUAUUUUUUUCUCUUCCUUUUCUUUUUUCUCCCCUUCCCCCCCUUUCUUCUUCAUUAUUUUUUGUUUCUCUCUUCUCUUCUCUUCUCUUCUCUUCUCUUCUCUUCUCUUCUCUUCUCUUCUCUUCUCUUCUCUUCUCUUCUCUUCUCUUCUCUUCUCUUCUCUUCUCUUCUCUUCUCUUCUCUUCUCUUCUCUUCUCUUCUCUCUUCUCCCUUUUCUUCUUUUAAAUUCCCGUUUACCUACCUACCUACCUAUCUAUCCAUCCAUCCAUCCAUCUACCUACCUACCUACCAAUCCAUUUAUUGCUCUGCCUUUUCCUUACAAAUAAGGCUCUCAGGUGCUGUCCCCACGGACAUCCCCCGCCCGAUGGGACAUUGAAUCUCCCACGGGUGUCCCGUGCUGUGGGGGGGGGGGGGUCGAGUUUCCCUUCCCGCUCCCACCCGAGCUCCGUUUUCUCUCCGGGAGGACCCAACGCCGAACAAAUGGGGUUUUUCCUCCUGGGGGUUUGAGAUGUUUCACCCCCCGGCCGGUGGCUGCGUGCUGCUGCAUCACCACCAAGAAAUGCGGACAAAUCUCUGCACCCCACCGCGGCUCGGGGAUUUUUUCUGUGAUUUUAUUUCAUUUCAUUCCAUUCCCUUUCGUUAUUUUUUUCCUUCCUCCCCCCUCCUCCCCCCCCCCCCCCUCAAUUUGCCCCCUUAACUCCUCAUUGAGGCCGGAUGAACUUUCAGCGUUGGGAUAAGGGCCGAUUCCCAUCUUCUGUCCAUGAUCCAAAGAAACUUUUGCCCCCCCCACCCCCUCAUCGCGGACCGUUCCGGGCGUUAUCGGAGCUCCGAAGUGCGCCGUAAAACGGGAUGGGUGUGUGUGUGUGGGGGGGUGGGGGGGGACGAGGGGGGGGGGGGGGGUUAGAAAUUACUUUAUUAACUCUCCAUCUUUAUUCAAUAUCCCCUCAGCCUUGGGAUAAAGUUGUUGCGUCCGUCUGAGCCAUAAAUGUCAGCGCCCCAUCGCGGGGCUGAGGUGCGGGAGGCGGAAUGAAGGAUGGCCGCAGAGAAGGAAUUUAUUGGAGAUAUUUAAAUCGAUGGG